GACGAACGCUGGCGGCGUGCUUAACACAUGCAAGUCGAACGGAAAGGCCCUGCUUUUGUGGGGUGCUCGAGUGGCGAACGGGUGAGUAACACGUGAGUAACCUGCCCUUGACUUUGGGAUAACUUCAGGAAACUGGGGCUAAUACCGGAUAGGAGCUCCUGCUGCAUGGUGGGGGUUGGAAAGUUUCGGCGGUUGGGGAUGGACUCGCGGCUUAUCAGCUUGUUGGUGGGGUAGUGGCUUACCAAGGCUUUGACGGGUAGCCGGCCUGAGAGGGUGACCGGCCACAUUGGGACUGAGAUACGGCCCAGACUCCUACGGGAGGCAGAGGUGGGGAAUAUUGCACAAUGGGCGGAAGCCUGAUGCGACAACGCCGCGUGCGGGAUGACGGCCUUCGGGUUGUAAACCGCUUUCGCCUGAGACGAAGCGUGAGUGACGGUAAUGGGUAAAGAAGCACCGGCUAACUACGUG
rnacentral:rRNA from 1 species